rnacentral:rRNA from 1 species
AACGAACGCUGGCGGCAGGCUUAACACAUGCAAGUCGAACGCAUCGCAAGAUGAGUGGCAGACGGGUGAGUAACGCGUGGGAAUCUACCCAUCUCUGCGGAAUAGCUCUGGGAAACUGGAAUUAAUACCGCAUACGCCCUACGGGGGAAAGAUUUAUCGGGGAUGGAUGAGCCCGCGUUGGAUUAGCUAGUUGGUGGGGUAAAGGCCUACCAAGGCGACGAUCCAUAGCUGGUCUGAGAGGAUGAUCAGCCACAUUGGGACUGAGACACGGCCCAAACUCCUACGGGAGGCAGCAGUGGGGAAUAUUGGACAAUGGGCGCAAGCCUGAUCCAGCCAUGCCGCGUGAGUGAUGAAGGCCUUAGGGUUGUAAAGCUCUUUCACCGAUGAAGAUAAUGACGGUAGUCGGAGAAGAAGCCCCGGCUAACUUCGUGCCAGCCGCCGCGGUAA